CCAAGAGACACAUACACAUGUUAUAAAUUGAAACAUAAAAAAACACAUUCAUUCUGUGUCACAUUGUCAGUUCUCAGCCAAUGGUUUUUCAGAAACAACCUCAUGCAAAUACUAAAGGAAUGCAAUUCUUAUAAUUCUGCAAAAUGAAACAUUAUAUUUAUUUAUUAGCGUUUAUAUAUUUGAAAAAUGGAGUCCAAUCAGAUAUAUCACAAAGCAUGGAGUUGAUCAAUACCCUAAACCAGAAAAUAUACGAAUUGAAGAUGAAGCAAAUGAAAGAAAUCAUAACUCCACAUUUCCGAUCAAAAUUCGGACAUUUCUAUGAAAACAAUUACCAUUGGCACUUUGCUUCUGGAGUUUCUUUAUUCCAUCUCGAAUAUAUGUUGUUGGACAAUGAUUUUCAUUCCUUACUCGAAAUAGACAAAUUGAAUUUCACAACACCAAUCGAUAAAAUCAUUGGAGGUCAUGAUCGAAUAAGUAUAGCUAAGCUGGUCGAAUAUGAGAACCAAGCAGUGAUGAUGCUUACUGUGAAUAAAAAGCAAGUAAGAAUUCUAAACUUCGUCAAAAUAGAUUACGAUCAAUUUGUUUACCGUGAAAUACAAUACCUAGAACAUGUAAUGAUUUCGGACGCUGACUUGUUCAGAAUUCAAAACAAAUUAUACAUGAUAGUCGCUAAUGAUAAGGGCAGUAAUUUUGUUCCAGUAAGCUUAUAUGAAUGGACUGGAGAUAAUUUUUAUGAGAUACAUGUUCUAUACACUAGAGGUAUUCCACAAAUUCAUGUUUUUGAAGAGGAUGGCAGAGCAAUAAUCUUGAUGUUACACAAAAGAAAAAAAUUGAUUACUGUCUGCGAUGUUUACACAUUGGAGGAUCGAAGACUGACCAAAAUACAAGAACUACAAUUGGAGGGACCUAGGCAUAUUAUACCUUACCAAAUAAGAGAUGAAUACUAUGUUUUAGUUUUAAGUGGUUGGGAUAGACAUUUAUAUUCAUGGACAGGAAGUCAACUAAAACAAAUUUCAUCAGAAUCAACUCUACAUAGCAAUGAUUAUCAAAAACUCAAAUUAUCGCACAUCAACAAUUCAACUAUUCUUUUCGCUAGCAAAUUUCACAAAUUAGACAUAUUCAUAAUGUCUACUCAAGGAGCAAUACAUUUAGCAUCGCAAGAGUACCUGCAUAGAUACUCUGCAAUAUUGAGUUUGGAUCACGUAAAAAUGAACAAAACAGAUUACAUAUUCGUUGUAGGAAAUGUGGGUGUUAAAGGAGAAAUAGAAUAUUUUGACAUUGAAUUAAUUCAGGCUCCAGAGACAGAUGAGGUGAACCUUUGGCCACUUGGACUAUUGGGAAUUUAAUGACAUUUAAUCACACAAAAAAUGCAUGGAUGAUAAAAGAAGAAUAGGGAACACAAAAUUGCUUCUUUCAGCAUUUUGUCUCCGCCCAAAUUUGAAAACACUGAACGGAUUUCCUAAACUUUUGCACUGAAACAUUGAGCUUAUUUGAGGAGCUGUGUAGCUUUGGAAUAGGAUGAAGUUGUGGGCCAAAAAAAAUAGUGCGAUGUGAUUUGCUCCCUGCUGCGCUUUCGCUAUUCUGUUGAAAGGAAUGCUAAGUAAAUACUUUCUUCUGGUGUUGUACUCGUGGAAGUCAGCGUUGGUUCGAAACUUCUUGAGAUUUCGGUGGACAUAAGUCACGGCAGCGAGGAUGAAAACCGAAGUGCAGCAGAACCCUCUGUGCGUCACUGCAAUGUCCCCACACCAAAAUGCUAUAAAUCAUUUUUGCAUGAAAUGUCGAGUAGUACACGAGUUUGGCUGUGUCACUGUUGGAAAUAACUCUCAUUCUUUUUAUUAAGUAGAUCGAGGUCCCCUGUGGAAUAUCACAACUGAUUUUGUUU